rnacentral:tRNA from 1 species
GCCCGGAUGGCGGAACUGGUAGACGCGCUAGCUUCAGGUGCUAGUCUUCGUAAGGAGGUGGGGGUUCAAGUCCCCCUUCGGGCA